UCCGUAGGUGGAUCAAUCAGUCAGAGGUGAAAUCCUGCAGCUUAACUGUAGAACUGCCUUUGAUACUGUUGAUCUUGAGUCAUUAUGAAGUGGUUAGAAUGUGUAGUGUAGCGGUGAAAUGCAUAGAUAUUGCACAGAAUACCGAUUGCGAAGGCAGAUCACUAAUAAUGUACUGACACUGAGGGACGAAAGCGUGGGGAGCGAACAGGAUUAGAUACCCUGGUAGUCC
rnacentral:rRNA from 1 species